rnacentral:rRNA from 1 species
GACAGAGGGUGCAAACAUUGUUCGGAAUUACUGGGCGUAAAGCGCGUGUAGGCGGCUAUGCAAGUCGGAUGUGAAAGCCCUCGGCUCAACCGGGGAAGUGCACCCGAAACUGCAAAGCUAGAGUCUCGGAGAGGAUCGUGGAAUUCUCGGUGUAGAGGUGAAAUUCGUAGAUAUUCGGAAGAACACCAGUGGCGAAGGCGGCUCACUGGCCCGUUACCGACGCUCAGGCGCGAUAGCGUGGGGAGCAAACAGG